rnacentral:lncRNA from 1 species
CCUUUUUUAGGGCCACUCCCAUGGCAUAUGGAGGUUCCCAGGCUAGGGGUCUAAUCGGAGCUGUAGCCACUGGCCUGCGCCACAGCCGCAGCAACGUGGGAUCCAAGCCACGUCUGCAACCUACACCACAGCUCUCGGCAACGCCUGAUCCUUAACCCACCGAGCAAGGCUAGGGAUUGAACCCGCAACCUCACGGUUCCUAGUCGAAUUCAUUAACCACUGUGCUGUGACGGGAACUCCCAUUUCUAAACAUUUUAGUAGAUAUUUCAUAUAUUUGUAAGUCUUUUAUUAAGCACAUGUUUAAUUUAUAACAUCAAAGUAAUUAAAGGACAUGCUGGUUUGUCAGUUGACUGUAGCAUAGAACCCUAUUGAUUCAAUUUUUUCUCUUUUCAUGGCUGCACCUGUGGCAUGUGGAAGUUCUAGGGGUAAGGGUUGAAUUGGAGCUGCAGCUGCAGGCCUACACCACAGCCAUGGCAAUGCAGGAUCUGAGCCACUCCUGUGACCUGCACCACAGUUUGCGGCAAUGCCACAUCCCUAACCCACUGAGCAAAGCCAGGGAUUAAACCUGCAUCCUCACAGAGACAAUGUUGGGUCCUCAACCUGCUAGGCCACAAUGGGAACUCCCUUAGCUGCAAAUCUGACUUCAUAGCAGAGGUCAUUCCAAGGUCCAUGGACGGAGACAGGAUUCCUACAAAACCAAGGGUGUUACUCUGGCUGCUCUGCAAAUCUUUGCCAGUGAGCUGGCUUUCAUUAGUAUUCAUGCCUUCUUGCUUUUGUCUUUACUUUUUUUCAAUAAAUAUCUUAGUUUUGGAAAUAUAGAUAUUCAAGGCAAAUGGCCAGGGAUAAUUUUCAGGAAAACAUGCUUAAAAUAAGACCGCUGACGGCCCUGUACUGAGUGGUGAUGAUUAUGCAACACACAGCACUCUGAAUCUCUUGAUAGACAGAUUUCUCUCAUCGAAAAACAACCCGUAUCAUCAGCAGCCAACCCAAACUCCAUCCACUCUUUCCAUUUGUAGCAAGAGCAAUUUGAUGCCUAAAUUUAUGGCUUGUAUUAAAAGCUUGGGAACCUGAGAUCCAUAAUUUGAGGCAUACUAUAUCAUGGGUAAUAUCUAUUUUUUUCUGAAGACUUCAAAGGAAUGCAUUCUCCCCCACCUCCAACCUGUCAUUUUUCUGGUACAUAAAGUGCUUUGGGUUUGAGGUAGAAGAAUUCAAUUCUAUGUGCAUUUCCUGGAUUCCUACCUGCCAUGAGCAGGGAGCCGCAGAGAACAAAGGUUGAGAUAACAAAGGCUUAGUUCAAGAAAUGUAUAGUCUAGUAAGGGCUGUGACAAAGACACAGACAACCAAAAUUCAAGGGAGGUACUGAUAGUGUUGGAUUUUGGAAGAGUGGGCAUUGUUGCUUGAAUUCUAGGCAGGAAACCAUGUAAUUAGGCUGCAGCCUACGUCACAACCACAGCAAUGUCCAAUCUGAGCUGCAUCUGUGACCUACACUCCAGCUUGCGGUAAUGCUGGAUCCUUAACCCACUAAGCGGGGGCAGAGAUGGAACCUGAAUCCUCAUGGACACUGUGUUGGUUUCUUAACCUGCUGAGUGACAACAGGAAUUCCAGGAAGAAUUUUCUAAAGAUAGUGAGAAGUCAGGCAUAUAGACACAGGAGUGAUAACUUGAGGAAAAUUAACUUAUCUCACUUGUCAACACACUCGAAAUGGAUAUCUAAUACCUAGGAAACAUCUGCAGCCAUAGUGCAGGUUUAAUAUCCAACCUAAUUUGAGGGGAAUAGCCGAAGAAAUAUUUCCUCGGUAGAGUUGUGGGAGCCAGUAAAUUGAAUGUCCCCUCAAGUUGCUGUCAGGAAGAAAAUGUCUCAUUCCUCUUCCUGAAUCAACUCAUAACUUUGCCCAGAAGAAAAUUAAAUUGGAGUCAUUGUAUCUGCACCCCCAGCUGUGUGGCAGCUCAUGAGAGAAACUAGCAUUUAGUCAUUUUAAAAUAGUAGGUGUGCUACAGUGUUUAAAAGUUGGGAAGGAGUUCCCUUCGUGGUUCAGUGGAAACAAAUCCGACUAGGAACCAGGAGGUUGCGGGUUCACUCCUUGGCUUCACUCAGUGCGUUAAGGAUCUGGUGUUGCUGUGGCUGUGGCAUAGGCCAGUGGCUACAGCUCCGAUUAGACCCCUAACCUGGGAAACUCCAUAUGCUGCAGGUGUGGCCCUAAAAAGACCAAAAAAAAAGUUGGGAAGAUGAUUGCAAUGUCACUUCCUAAUGCUUUGAGGGUUUCUUUCUUUCUUUCUUUUUCCUUUUUACAGCUGUACCUCAGCAUAUGGAAGUUCCCAGGUAGGGGUCAAAUUGGAGCUGCAGCUACAGCCUGUGCCACGGCAACAGUGGGUAUGAGCUGCAUUCGUAACCUACACUGCAGCUUGUGGCAAUGCUGGAUCCUCAGUCGACUGAGUGAGGCCAGGGAUCGAACCUGCAUCCUUACCGAGACAACAUCGGAUCCUUAACCCUCUGAGCCACAACGGGAACCCUGCUUUUAAGUUUUUCUUGAUUAUCUGCAAUUCACUUAACCACUAGGCUAGCAAUGACCCUACUUCUAUUGAAUUUUUAAGGGAAAUGAACUCACAGUCCAAGUUACUGUGACUUUUUAUUUCAAAUAUGUCAUCCAGUGGAGGCCAUUUCUAAGGGAAGCCUUACUGAUUUCUUGAGAAAUAGCUUGUAAAGAAAGCUUUUGCUCUUAAGUCCAAAGUAAUGGGAGGAUGACAGAGAAGAGAGGAUGGUGCACAUAAAAAUGAUUAAAAGCAUUUAGUGGUAUUCAUUUUAACAAGUCAUUGAUUGACAGGACAUUCAUAACCAUAACACUCCCAAAAGAAGCCUUAGCAGGAGAGGAAUUGCUUCAGUGUAAAAUCGAUCUGUUGGAAUAAUAGGAACAAACCCAAAGGAAAACCUGAAAUCUGAAGCUGUAAGGUGACCAAAUCUGGACAAAUCCCCAUUGUGUGUUAAGAUUCCUUCUUUGUUUGAAGGGAAGCUGAAGUGGUCAGAAGGGCUAUUGUGUGAUGGGAAAAGGAAGUUUGAACAAGAAGCCAGGAGACUGUUUUCUUCCAUUCAUUUCCUAUGCUACUCUUUGAGUUGAAGCUCUCUCGUUUGUAAAACAGAAAUAAUCUACUGUCAUACAUCUCAUAAAUCUCUCCUAGGGCUUUUGUUGGAAUAAAAUCAGAUAAAAGAUGCAGGAGCUUCUUCAAGAAGGGCAAAGGAUAAGCUAAUGAUAAUCAUUAUCAUUUAUAUACAGAAUACUUCAAGUAUAUCAGACCCAGGCUUUUAAUACAUUAUUUUAUCUUAGCCACAGAAUAAGCUUGGGGUAGGUCUGUCUGUCUAUCUAUCCACCUAUCUAUCACUAUUCUAUAGAUUGGGACAUAUACAUAUCACUGUACAUCCCUAUGUAUAUUUCCAUAUAUACAUACACACACAUACAUACAUACAUCAUUAUGUGUGUGUGUGUGUAUGUAUCUCCCUAGAAUAUAUCACUAGUCUAUAGAUUGGGACAUUGAGAUUAAGAAACACUAAGAAUUUGCCUAUGAUCAUACCUGUAAUCAAUGGUGAAGCCAAGAUGCCCUGAUUCCAUUGCUAACCAAUUAUAUACGCGUUUAGAACUGGAAAAAUCUGAUGAGUUACUUUGUUCAAUUCUACUAUUUACAAGGUGUGCCUGUUUUCUUAGCUUCCUCUUUCAUUCUAAAUCAGGUGUCUCCAUUUUAUACCAGUUCCUUUCCUCAGCACCGCUGAACUUGACCUUUUCUCAAACACUCCCCCACUCUCCACUCCACUAAUUCUUGAACAUCUUUCCAGUCUCACUUCGAACACCUCGCCAUAAGGAUGUGAUAUGGUGUUUACCACUGUAUUCCUAGUGUCAGCACAAAGCUGGUCACUAAGUAGGUCCAUAAAUAUCUGUUUAGUAAAAGGUCGAAUGAAGGAAACAGACCCAGGCGAAUGAAUUGAGCAGAUCAAUGCCAUGUGGCACAAUGGACAUCCAGACCCACUGUUCUUCCUACUAUCCCACUGGGUAAGUUUAUUUCUUGCCCAAAAUCAUGGAUUUUGAAGCUGAAUACUUUAAUCAUAACCCAUUAAUUAAGACCUCAGUGAUUCUCUAAAUGAGUCAUGAACUGUAAAAAUAGAAUGAUAUAUUGUUAUGGUUAAGAAAAAACCUAGCCGAUAGGAGCAUUGAGAGAGCUCAAAUAAAAUUUGGGACCAAUUAAUGACAUGAGAAUGAGAAGCUAGAAGCAAUAUGCAGCUAGUAGAGAAAUGGCUCAAGGCUACAUCAUAUUAAUUUUUGUAGCAUAUGGAAUACUUUGUGUCAAUCCAGUUUGAAGAAUAUAAAAUUCUCCCUCCUACUUAAUUAUGCAGUGUUCAAUUUCAGCUUCUUCUAUUAAAAUAAAGUGAAAGGUGAGAAAAAAUGCAAGAAAGAAAAUUAUUCUGUAAAUAGAAGUUUUAAUAAAUUAUGUUUAGGUGAACCCGUAAUGCUGAGGCACAUUAAAGAUCUUUAGUGAAAAAAGGGUAUUUUGAUCUGUUAAGAAAUGGGGUAAUUUCAGAAAAUGAUGUCAUCAUGCCACAGCAUUGAUGGAUGAUGUUAUCCGUGCCACUGAGAGAAACCAUUUUCUCCUUUACCCCUUUAGUAUAAAGCAAUCACUAUGCCACCUAGUGUUUGUUAAAAUCAUCGACAAAUGAUAAAUACCACCAUCAAAGGAAGUGUAUCACACUUAUAGUUUGAUUUACUCUUUCCAUUGAGAGCCCAUUUUCAAGUGGCUUUGUAACCUGGAAAUAUAAUCUAACAUGCUCUUGUAGGU